GACGAACGCUGGCGGCGUGCUUAACACAUGCAAGUCGAACGGAAAGGCCCUGCUUUUGUGGGGUGCUCGAGUGGCGAACGGGUGAGUAACACGUGAGUAACCUGCCCUUGACUUUGGGAUAACUUCAGGAAACUGGGGCUAAUACCGGAUAGGAGCUCCUGCUGCAUGGUGGGGGUUGGAAAGUUUCGGCGGUUGGGGAUGGACUCGCGGCUUAUCAGCUUGUUGGUGGGGUAGUGGCUUACCAAGGCUUUGACGGGUAGCCGGCCUGAGAGGGUGACCGGCCACAUUGGGACUGAGAUACGGCCCAGACUCCUACGGGAGGCAGCAGUGGGGAAUAUUGCACAGUGGGCGGAAGCGUGAUGCAGCAACGCCGCGUGCGGGAUGACGGCCUUCGGGUUGUAAACCGCUUUCGCCUGUGACGAAGCGUGAGUGACGGUAAUGGGUAAAGAAGCACCGGCUAACUACGUG
rnacentral:rRNA from 1 species